rnacentral:rRNA from 1 species
UGGGGAAUUUUGGACAAUGGGCGAAAGCCUGAUCCAGCAAUGCCGCGUGUGUGAAGAAGGCCUUCGGGUUGUAAAGCACUUUUGUCCGGAAAGAAAUCCUUGGCUCUAAUACAGUCGGGGGAUGACGGUACCGGAAGAAUAAGCACCGGCUAACUACGUGCCAGCAGCCGCGGUAAUACGUGGGUGGCAGCAGUAUCGGAAUUACUGGGCGUAAAGCGUGCGCAGGCGGUUUGCUAAGACCGAUGUGAAAUCCCCGGGCUCAACCUGGGAACUGCAUUGGUGACUGGCAGGCUAGAGUAUGGCAGAGGGGGGUAGAAUUCCACGUGUAGCAGUGAAAUGCGUAGAGAUGUGGAGGAAUACCGAUGGCGAAGGCAGCCCCCUGGGCCAAUACUGACGCUCAUACAACGAAGC